rnacentral:rRNA from 1 species
AUUGAACGCUGGCGGCAGGCCUAACACAUGCAAGUCGAGCGCGAAAGUUCUUCGGAAUGAGUAAAGCGGCGGACGGGUGAGUAACGCGUGGGAAUCUACCCAGUUCUACGGAACAACACAGGGAAACUUGUGCUAAUACCGUAUACGCCCUACGGGGAAAGAUUUAUCGGAAUUGGAUGAGCCCGCGUAAGAUUAGCUAG